rnacentral:rRNA from 1 species
GUGGGGAAUCUUGCGCAAUGGGCGAAAGCCUGACGCAGCCAUGCCGCGUGAAUGAUGAAGGUCUUAGGAUUGUAAAAUUCUUUCACCGGGGACGAUAAUGACGGUACCCGGAGAAGAAGCCCCGGCUAACUUCGUGCCAGCAGCCGCGGUAAUACGAAGGGGGCUAGCGUUGCUCGGAAUUACUGGGCGUAAAGGGCGCGUAGGCGGACAGUUUAGUCAGAGGUGAAAGCCCAGGGCUCAACCUUGGAAUUGCAUUUGAUACUGGCUGUCUUGAGUACGGGAGAGGUGAGUGGAACUCCGAGUGUAGAGGUGAAAUUCGUAGAUAUUCGGAAGAACACCAGUGGCGAAGGCGACUCACUGGCCCGUUACUGACGCUGAGGCGCGAAAGCGUGGGGAGCAAACAGGAUUAGAAACCCCAGUAGUCC